AAACCGUUGAAAGGGAAGCGAAUGGAGUUAGCAAUUCGCCGCGCUAGAUUCAGCCUUUCGCGUGCCGCGACGUGCACGAUCUCGAUCUUUGUAGACGAGUCGUGUACGGACGCGGCGCGGGGUAGGCGCACUUCUGGCGGGCGAGCGUCAACGUCGGUCUCCGGCGAGCUACAAGGUCGCGUGGAAGGUGGACUUUCUUUCGGGGAGGUUGUUAAGCCACGCGCACGCAUGGCUCGUCGAAGUCCGUGGCAUAUUGUCGCGACGCGUGCCUCCCUUCGGGGUUGGCUGGUAUCUCGUUCUGUUGGUCCGGUUGUCGACCGAGUGGACGGCACGCCUGUGCGCUCAAACCGCUGCCGGUCAACAGUUCGGUGAUCACACACAACGCGUCGAGGACGUUGACGACCAUACGGCUCUAUCCGACCCGUCUUGAAACACGGACCAAGGAGUCUAACAUGUGCGCAAGUCUCUGGGUGAUUGAAACCCGUGGGCACAAUGAAAGUAAAGGCAGCCACCGCUGCUGAGGUGAGAAGCGCAUUGCGCGCUGCAUCAUCGACCGACCUAUUCUACUCCUAGAAAGGUUUGAGUAAGAGCGUACCUGUUGGGACCCGAAAGAUGGUGAACUAUGCCUGAAUAGGGUGAAGCCAGCGGAAACACUGGUGGAAGCUCGUAGCGAUUCUGACGUGCAAAUCGAUCGUCGAAUUUGGGUAUAGCGGCGAAAGACUAAUCGAACCAUCUAGUAGCUGGUUCCCUCCGAAGUUUCCCUUAGGAUAGCUGGAGCUCGGAUGCAGUUUU
rnacentral:rRNA from 1 species